rnacentral:rRNA from 1 species
GGUAACGGCCUACCAAGGCUACGAUCAGUAGGGGUUCUGAGAGGAUUAACCCCCACACUGGUACUGAGACACGGACCAGACUCCUACGGGAGGCAGCAGUGAGGAAUAUUGGUCAAUGGGCGGAAGCCUGAACCAGCCAUCCCGCGUGAAGGAAGACAGCCUUACGGGUUGUAAACUUCUUUUCUGUCAGAAGAAUAAGCUUGUCGAGACGAGUGAUGCCGGUAUGACAGGAAUAAGCAUCGGCUAACUCCGUGCCAGCAGCCGCGGUAAUACGGAGGAUGCAAGCGUUAUCCGGAUUUAUUGGGUUUAAAGGGUGCGCAGGUUGUUUGAUAAGUCAGUGGUGAAAGUCUGUCGCUUAACGGUAGGAUUGCCAUUGAUACUGUUGGACUUGAAUAUGGAUGAGGUAGGCGGAAUGUGUAGUGUAGCGGUGAAAUGCAUAGAUAUUACACAGAACACCGAUCGCGAAGGCAGCUUACUAAUCCAUCAUUGACGCUGAGGCACGAAAGCGUGGGGAUCAAACAGGAUUAGAUACCCUGGUAGUCCACGCCGUAAACGAUGAUCACACGCUGUUUGCGAUAUACAGUAAGCGGCUAAGCGAAAGCGUUA